rnacentral:rRNA from 1 species
GCCUACGGCCCUACCACCCUGAACGCCCCCAUCUCAUUUGCUCUCAGAAGCUAAGCAAGGUUGGGCCUAGCCUGUACUUGGAUAGGAGAAAGAGAUGGGGUGUGGGGA